rnacentral:misc_RNA from 1 species
AAGUCGUAACAAGGUUUCCGUAGGUGAACCUGCGGAAGGAUCAUUACGAAAAGUUCAAUCCAAUUCAAACCAACUGUGCAACCUGGGCGGGUUUGCUGCUGUUAUAGGCAGUUUUACCUUGCCAAGCUACCAACCUGUUUUGGUGUGGUGUCAGCCUUAUACUUAACCUUGAUAAUAUAUGCUAGGUUUGCGCCUACGCACAAUAAAACAAAAUACAACCUUUUGACAAUGGAUCACUUGGCUCUU